CCCAUUUCUCCCUGUACACAUGUACCAGGAAGGACACGGCCGUACACACGCGCAUCAUAUGGUCAUGUGACUGGAGCGCCGACAACAAGUACUUUGUGACGUCAAGUCGAGACAAGAAGGUGAUAGUGUGGGGUGACUGCAGUAGUUCUGAGGCCAUUGUGACCCCUGAUGAACCCCCAGUCAUCCGGCCCUGUUCCUCCAUAUUAGAUGUAGGAGACUCGGCCACUGCUGUCUCCUUCUGCCCCAUCCUGUGCCCCGGCAACAGCUAUCUGCUGUCGGUGGGGCUGGAGAGUGGCCAGGUCCUGCUGUAUAAGUGGGAACUCAGUGAGGAGCCUGCUGGAGCAUCAGACUGGACCAGAUAUGGAGAAACAGACUCCUCGUAUCCUUUAGACAC